GACAGAGGGUGCAAACGUUGUUCGGAAUUACUGGGCAUAAAGAGCACGUAGGUGGUCUGUUAAGUCAUGUGUGAAAUCCCCCGGCUCAACCGGGGAAUUGCGCCUGAUACUGGCAGGCUCGAGGUCGGUAGGGGUGAGCGGAACUCCAGGUGGAGCGGUGAAAUGCGUUGAUAUCAUCUGGAAUACCGGAGGCGAAGGCGGCUCACUGGGGCUUUUCUGACGCUGAGGAACGAAAGCCAGGGUAGCGAACGGG
rnacentral:rRNA from 1 species